UGCGGGGUGGAGCAGUCUGGUAGCUCGUCGGGCUCAUAACCCGAAGGUCGUUGGUUCAAAUCCGACUCCCACAUCCA
rnacentral:tRNA from 1 species